rnacentral:rRNA from 1 species
AAUGAACGCUGGCGGCAUGCCUUACACAUGCAAGUCGAACGGCAGCAUGACCUAGCUUGCUAGGAUGAUGGCGAGUGGCGAACGGGGGAGUAAUGCAUCGGAACGUGCCUUUUAGUGGGGGAUAACGUAGCGAAAGUUACGCUAAUACCGCAUAUUCUCUGAGGAGGAAAGCAGGGGGCCUUCGGGCCUUGCGCUAGAAGAGCGGCCGAUGUCGGAUUAGCUAGUUGGUGAGGUAAAGGCUCACCAAGGCAACGAUCCGUAGCGGGUCUGAGAGGAUGAUCCUCCACACUGGGACUGAGGCACGGCCCAGCCUCCUACGGGAGGCAGCAGUGCGGAAUUUUGGACAAUGGGCGCAAGCCUGAUCCAGCCAUGCCGCGUGAGUGAAGAAGGCCUUCGGUUUGUAAAGCUCUUUCGUCUGGGAAGAAAUCGCACUCUCUAAUACAGGGUGUGGAUGACGGUACCAGCAUAAGAAGCACCGGCUAACUACGUG